rnacentral:rRNA from 1 species
UACGUAGGGUGCGAGCGUUAAUCGGAAUUACUGGGCGUAAAGCGUGCGCAGGCGGCUUGCCAAGUCAGAUGUGAAAGCCCCGGGCUCAACCCGGGAAUGGCGUUUUGAAACUGGCAGGCUAGAGUUUGGCAGAGGGGGGUGGAAUUCCACGUGUAGCAGUGAAAUGCGUAGAGAUGUGGAGGAACACCGGUGGCGAAGGCGGGUCUCUGGGCCGUAACUGACGCUGAGGAGCGAAAGCGUGGGGAGCGAACAGG